rnacentral:lncRNA from 1 species
AUGGGGAUCGGGAGGCAGCGUCCGCCCGUCCCAGGUCCAUCGGCGAGUCCCCGAACCAGACGCAGUCCCCCUGGACUGCCGGGAACUCGGAACACCGGUGAGUCCUCAAACGGCUGCAGUCCUCCUGGACCGGCGAGGACUCGGGAGUCCGGUGCGACACGCUCGCCUCACGAACGUGCCCCGAGACACUGGCGACUAGGAGGCAGCGUCUGCUCCUCCAAGGUCCAUCGGCGAGUUCCCAAACCAGACGCAGUCCCCCUGGACUGCCGGGAACUCGGAACACCGGUGAGUCCUCAAACGGCUGCAGUCCUUCUGGACCGGCGAGGACCCGGGAGUCCGGCGCGACACGCUCGCCUCACGAACGUGCCCCGAGACCCUGAGGGCAGAGACAGUCCUCCUAGACUGCAGGGGAGCAGGAGCGGUCCUCCAGGAGACAAGGAACAGGAACAGGAGAGGCCCUCCAGGAAAACCGGAAGCUCGGGGACAGGAGUGGCCCUCCAGGGCAACAGGAACAGGAGAGGCCCUCCAGGAAAACCGGAAGCUCGGGGACAGGAGUGGCCCUCCAGGGCAACAGGAACAGGAGCGGUCCUCCAGGGAAACCGGAAGCACGGGAAUAGGAGCGACCCUCCAAGGCAACAGGAACACAGGAACAGGGGCCAACACCAAGGCACCCAAACAAGCUCCCAACACGAACAGACACCACACACGAACAGACAGGCAGGCACAACCUGCUUAAAUAGGCAGCAAGAUGUAAAUUGCCUACAGGUGCGCCCACCUGCAGUGCCAGCUGCACCCAAUUGUGCUCAACACCGCACCCUGCAGGCCAAAGACAGACACAACCCAGAAAUCCCAACAGGGAGGGAUUAAUUAUCUAUCCCUACAAUUAGAAUCCUUAAUUAUAGAAAGAGGGAGGGUGAGACUUUGACUUUUAAAAUGUACUUUGUUUACAGCGCUCUGUUCACAUAAAACCAGUUAAAAGUUACCUUCACAAAAAACCUCAUGCCCCCAGUGCUGUUCAAAGGCUUCCAGGUUCUCAGUGGCUUUGUAGAAGCAGAACUCCAGAUUCUGGCGCACCCUCACUGGCUUCCACAAAGCCACCGCAUUACAUGCCGCUCCAUUUUUAAUUUUCUCCCUUCUAGACAAAAAUAAAUGGCAAGUUUAGCCUCACUUAUUAAAAAAUUUAAAACCUGGCAUUUCCCCCUUCCUGCCCUCUUGUGCCUUAGACCACAAACAAGAACAGCAGUGGAGAACACGACAUUAAAGAGCCUAAAGACAUCAGUUAAAACCCUAAAAAGACCCACCAGCCUACUGCACCCGGUAAAAACCUGAAAGACAUUCUUGUUAAAAUCACAGAAAGGACAGUUGUUUAAAAUGUUCGGGUUUAAAAUUGACAGGAAGGCACUGGUGGCGAUGGCUCCAUGUAAAAUCCUCCAUUGGAGGUCGCCAGUCCUCUUCUUGAUGGGGGGCUUGUAGAGGGUCCUCCACUGAGGACUCUGUCCCCCCCAGUCUGUCCUUCCACACUGUCACUUCUCUGUUUUUCAGUUUGUCUUUGUUGAAUGCCUUCACGAUGUUGCCGUAUAAAAUCCUCCUGUCCAUGCUGUGAAGGGAUCCUGAGCCAGAGCCAUCCAGGAGAGGACCACCGAGGUCCAUGAGGUCCGGAUGCAGGUGGAGUUCAGGAAAAGCGUCAGUGGGGUUGGUCUUAGCCUCUCCUCUCCCGUGAAGGAGGAGGAGACCCUUCUCUGUCGUAGACAGUCUGAGUUUCCAGAGGCCCAGGCUCCUCUGGAUCAGUCGGACCGACCGGACCCCCAGCGCCGAGCUCACAGCCUGGGCAUCGGUGAGCUCUGGUCCCGCUGCCGCCACCAGCCGCUCCAAUGUCACUAUCUUCCUUCGGAUCAGGGCCUCCUUCAGCCCAGGGGUGGCGCUGCUUCAGACAUCCAGUCUGCCGCCACAGACUAACGGCUCCUUUAAUAGCCAGUGCAGAGAGUCAGUCUGAACGAAGCUCUAUCUAAAAAGAGCACAGGAUUUAAAAACACCCAACACUGAGCAAAUGAUUUCAAAAAUAUUACACUGAAUAGUUUAUACAUCUAUGUUGCAUGCCAGCAUAAUUCUUCUCUCAGGCUGGGAUCAUUCUGUGUCUUUCAGGGAAGAGUUUUUAAGGCUAAUCUCAGAGGGAAAACCCUUUUAUUUUGUACAGCUAAUUAAUUCAUUGUAUCACUGUCCAAAGUAGCCAGAGAGGAUGAUUUGAAAGUCAAACCCACUCAGCUGCCUGAGGCUCUCCAAAGUGAGAGGAACCACAGUCAGUACAGCGGUGUGAGUGAAGACGUGUCACAAAAGGUGAAAAUCUACAUUUAUACCAGAGGACAGUUUGGAGCCAACAGACAGAAAAUGCAAAAAGUAUAAAUGUCAACAAUAAACUCAAAACAGACACACAAGUGUUGUAUAUUAUUCAAAUAUUUUCAGUUUUAUAUUGAUAAAGCAUGUGUCUGUGUAUGUGCAUGUGUGUGUGUGUGUGUGUGUGUGUGUGUGUGUGUGUGUGUGCAUGCCACAGUGGCAGGCAAGAGGAGGUGUUGAUAACUUAUUUGGCAUUUUGACAGUGAUAAAGGACAUUUGUUGCCGACAGCAACGCAGAAAAAUGCGACCAUGCCAACAUGUGUUCAACACUCUACACUGCGGCCAGACUUUUCCUUCCCUUUCCGCUCUCAGAAUGCUGGUCUACUUGUGAUCCCCAGAGUUUCUAGGGAUAGAAUGUGGGGCCGAGCAUUUAGCUACCAGGCCCCCCUGCUAUGGAACCAGCUCCCUGUCCAGGUAGGGGAGGCUGACUCCAUCGCUACUUUUAAGAUUAGGCUUAAAACCUACCUCUUUGAAAAAGCUUAUUGUUACUAAUUCUAUAGUUCCAGUUAUUAUCAUAGACAGACAAAUUAUCAUACUCAGGGGAUCGUCUAAUCAUUAGGUUAACAUCUUAGCUAUGCUCCUAUAGGCCAAGGCUGCCGGGGUCCAGAAACAUGAUCACCUGACAGGCCUCUGCCACCCCACUGGAUCAUGGUUUCCUCUUCCCUCCUCUCCUCUCCUGUCCUCCUCAUCAAGUAGACUAGUAAUGCUAUUUUCUGUGUAGUUUUUCUGCCUCUCCACCCCCCUUCUGUAUCCAUUUACAGGUAUCACCGCCUUCAGAGCUAUAUACUGACCUCCGACCCCGCUGACCCACUCAACCAGCAGCUUAUUCACUUGAAUUUAAUUCAAUAUAAUGCAUUUUUGUAUGUAUUUAUAUGCUCUAUGCCUCUCCUCUCCUCUCCUCUACCUCCCCUCCCCUUCCCUCUACCUCUCCCCUCCCCUCCUCUCCUCUCCUCUCCUCUACCCCUCUCCUCUCCUCUCCUACCUAUUCUAUCCUCUACCUGUCCUCCCCCUUCUCCUCUCUCUCUACCCAGCCGGCCAUCAGCAGGAGGGUCCUCCUACAUGAGCCUGGUCCUGCUCAAGGUUUCUUCCUGUUAAAGGGGAGUUUUUCCUUGCCACUGUUGCUUGUCUGGGGUUAGGCCCUGGGAUUCUGGAAAGCGCCUUGAAACAAUUCUGAUUGUAAAAGACGCUAUAUAAAUAAAGAUUGAU